UGGAGACUGCAUCCCACGCAGGCAGCCCCCUUCUGUACAAGAGAGGCUGGCGGUUACCUUUCUUGGGGAGACGCGUCCGACUGCUUCAUUGUGGGGGCCUCAGGAGCGGAGGAUCGGGUCCCGCCCGAGGUGACGCGUAAACCCGGACUCUCAGCAACGCGGGUAGGAAGGACCCUUGAAGUUCCGCGGCGACCACGGAACUGUGCCUUCGAUCUCCACAGUCGGCUGAAACCAGCAGCCCAGGACAAGUGGACCAGCCAGCAAGACCCAGACCAUCCAAACCGGCUGAUCCUACGACAGGACCCAGAUGCCAGUGAAAGUGACCACAGCCCUGCUCUAGUCACCUCGGGAGCUGACCAGUCUACGCACGGCCGAAGCUUGAGGAGACGCCAGCCCUGCUCUCGUCACCCCGGGAGCUGACCAGUCUACACACGGCCGAAGCUUCAUCAAGGAAGUAAAUGUAGUUAGAAAUCUUAAGCCCAGUAAUUUUCCUUGUCAUCUUAAUUGUUUUACUAUUAACCUGUCGCUUUGCUCAAUCCCCUCCUCUGGGCAAACAUCUCUUGUCCAUCCUAGGUACAAACAUGCUACUCUUCCCUUUGUUCUUGCUGCUCUCGCUAGAUCCAUGUCAGAAGGAGGGAUAUGCGGAGAGUUUAAUUUAACUAAUUGUUGCCUAAAAAUCGAUGACAAUG
rnacentral:antisense_RNA from 1 species